rnacentral:rRNA from 1 species
AACGAACGCUGGCGGCAUGCCUAACACAUGCAAGUCGAACGAUGCCUUCGGGCAUAGUGGCGCACGGGUGCGUAACGCGUGGGAAUCUGCCUUUCGGUUCGGAAUAACUCAGGGAAACUUGAGCUAAUACCGGAUAACGUCGCAAGACCAAAGAUUUAUCACCGAAAGAUGAGCCCGCGUAGGAUUAGCUAGUUGGUGAGGUAAAGGCUCACCAAGGCGACGAUCCUUAGCUGGUCUGAGAGGAUGAUCAGCCACACUGGGACUGAGACACGGCCCAGACUCCUACGGGAGGCAGCAGUGGGGGAUAUUGGACAAUGGGCGAAAGCCUGAUACAGCAAUGCCGCGUGAGUGAUGAAGGCCUUAGGGUUGUAAAGCUCUUUUACCCGGGAAGAUAAUGACGGUACCGGGAGAAUAAGCCCCGGCUAACUCCGUG